UACGUAGGGGGCAAGCGUUGUCCGGAAUCAUUGGGCGUAAAGCGCGCGUAGGCGGCCCUGUAAGUCCGUUGUGAAAGUCGAAGGCUCAACCUUCGAAAGCCGAUGGAUACUGCAGGGCUAGAGUCCGGAAGAGGCGAGUGGAAUUCCUGGUGUAGCGGUGGAAUGCGCAGAUAUCAGGAGGAACACCGGUGGCGAAGGCGGGUCUCUGGGCCGAUACUGACGCUGAGGAGCGAAAGUGUGGGGAGCGAACAGG
rnacentral:rRNA from 1 species